rnacentral:rRNA from 1 species
UACGUAGGUGGCAAGCGUUGUCCGGAUUUACUGGGCGUAAAGAGCGCGCAGGCGGUCGUUCAAGUCGCGUGUGAAAGCCCCCGGCUCAACUGGGGAGGGUCACGCGAUACUGAUCGACUCGAAGGCAGGAGAGGGUAGUGGAAUUCCCGGUGUAGUGGUGAAAUGCGUAGAUAUCAGGAGGAACACCGGUGGCGAAGGCGGGUCUCUGGGCAGUAACUGACGCUGGGGAGCGAAAGCGUGGGGAGCGAACAGG